rnacentral:lncRNA from 1 species
AUGGACUGUAUAGUCCAGGGGGUCGCAAAGAGUCGGACACGACUGAGCGACUUUCACUUUUCACUCAACCAGGCUCGAGAGGCCGUUCCUGCAGACGGCCCCGUGGCCCCACCCGUGUGGCUGCCUCGCGCUCUGCCUCUGUCCCCGCUGGGGGUUCAGGCUUCACCCGGAAGCUCUGAGGGUGUGAAACCACGCAGCUCCAGUCAGUGUGGCCAGUGUUCAGAAACCACAGGAGAGUCAUUUGUUCUGGACUCUGGGACUCCCGUGGUCGGUCCUCCCUGCCUCCAAUGGAUGCCUGAAGCCAGGAAAGCUAGAACCGGAAGAAAAAAGUUUAUGGAAACAGUAAAGCCUCUGAACCUACUUAAUUACCUCUGACUGAAGGUGAUGAAGACAGCGGAAUGGACACCCUCGGCCUCUUCUGCGUCCUCCGGAAAAUCCAUUUGUCCAGGCGGAUGGGCAUGUCUUCGGCUCAGGCAGCCUGUGCCUUCCCUCUGUCCAUGACCUUGCUCAGAUUCAGCUGAGCACAUCCACACAACAGGGACAAGAGUGCUACUUCUGUGGAACAAGCUUAGCACAGACCUUCCCACAGGAUCGCCCGGGGUUGCCUAGCAAUCUGACAGCACUCUGCCUCAGCAGACACACGCCUCGGAUGGAUUUUUCCUAUUUUUAAUUUGUUUUCUGGGUGGGUAUUAUUGUGCAAUCACAGGCAGAGCUCUAAGACAUGGCAUGGGUCCCACUCAAAACAAGCAGAUCUGAGAAGAUCGGGAAGGACCCAGCUGCCCCCGAGCGGGCCACGGUAUCUGUUCUGGGAGGCUCUUGGCUCUGACUGUCGCCCCUGGUUAUGGAAGUUGGAUGGUGCCUGGGAACCCUCUGCUGGCUCUUCUCAUGCAAUUUCCCAGGCCUUCUCGGCUCUCCCAAAGCAGCCAGGUUACCAAGCAGCCCAAAGAGGGAAAUGUGCUCGAUGUGGGCCAGGGACCCUGAGCUGCCUGGAUCUCCCUCUGACAUUUCCCAGCCACGUGGGAGGAGAGAUGGGACGAUUUGCAAGUGGCUCACCCUCCUUUGGAGAAGAUAAAUGUCAGAACUGAAAGCAACUGGGUACUGAUAUAGAGCUGCCUGCUCUUAAAUAAAAUAUCGAGUCUGGAAGUGUGUGUGUGUGACACUGCAGAUGCACCCACCUGCUCCCCUGCAUGUGAAAUAAGAGGCAGUGUGGCGGGGGGCGGGGGGGCGGGCGGGGGCAGCACUGCUGG